GUUGAUUUGCCCCCUAUUUCGAGCAAUAUGGCAUUGCCGGGUUUCAACUUUGAGUGAACCGCUCGACCAACACUAAACUCAGAACAGGGCAAAU
rfam:Legionella jordanis strain BL-540 Ljor_ctg011, whole genome shotgun sequence.